AUUGAACGCUGGCGGCAGGCCUAACACAUGCAAGUCGAGCGAGCGGCGGACGGGUGAGUAAUGUCUGGGAAACUGCCUGAUGGAGGGGGAUAACUACUGGAAACGGUAGCUAAUACCGCAUCCCAUCAGAUUUUCCCAGAUGGGUUUAGCGAGUAGGUGGGGUAACGGCUCACCUAGGCGAGGUUCCCUCCCUGGUCUGAGAGGAUGACCAGCCAAACUGGAACUGAGACACGGUCCAGACUCCGACGGGAGGCAGCAGUGGGGAAUAUGGCACAAUGGGCGCAAGCCUGAUGCAGCCAUGCCGCGUGUAGGAAGAAGGCCUUCGGGUUGUAAAGUACUUUCAGCGGGGAGGCGUUACCCGCAGAAGAAGCACCGGCUAACUCCGUGCCAGCCGCCGCGGUAAUUC
rnacentral:rRNA from 1 species